GUUAACCUACCCCCGAGUUGGGGACAACCACGGGAAACUGUGGAUAAUCCCCAAUAGGUGAGAAUCACUGGAAUGUUUUCUCACCCAAAGCUCAGGCGCUCGAGGAUGGGACUGCGGCCUAUCAGGCUGUUGGUGGUGUAACGGGCCACCAAACCGACAACGGGUACGGGCGAUGGGAGUCGGAGCCCGGAGAUGGGGACUGAGACAAGGCCCCAGGCCCUACGGGGCGCAGCAGGCGCGAAAACUCCGCAAUAUGCGCAAGCGUGACGGGGGAAUCCCAAGUGCCGAUGGUCUUUGAUCGUCGGCUUUUCGGGAGUGUAAGGAGCUCCCGGAAUAAGGGCUGGGUAAGACUGGUGCCAGCCGCCGCGGUAAUACCAGCAGCCCGAGUGGUGGCCGGGUUUAUUGGGCCUAAAGCGCUCGUAGCCGGGUUGAUAAGUCCUUUGUGAAAUCGGACGGCUCAACCGUUCGGCUUGCAAGGGAUACUAUCGAUCUCGAGGCCGAGAAAAAGUCGGGAGUACUUUGGGGGGUAGUAGUGAAAUGCUGUAAUCCUCAAAGAACUACCAGUGGCGAAGGCGCCCGACUGGAGCGGACCUGACGGUGAGGGGCGAAAGCUUGGGGAGCGAACGGGAUUAGAUACCCCGGUAGUCCAAGGCCGUAAAGCAUGCGGGUCAGGUGUUUGGCAUCCUUCGAGGGUGUCAAGUGCCGAAGGGAAGCCGUUAAGCCCGCCGCCUGGGAAGUACAGUCGCAAGGCCGAAACUUAAAGAAAUAUGGCGGGGGAGCACCACAAGGGGUGGAGCCUGCGGUUUAAUUCGGAUUCAACGCCGGACAACUCACCGGGGGCGACAGCUGGUUGAAGGCCAGGUUGACGACCUUGCUGGACUAGCUUGAGAGGUGGUGCAUGGCCGUCGUCAGCUCGUACCGUGAGGCGUCCUGUUAAGUCAGGCAACGAGCGAGACCCUCACCCUUAGUUGCUAUAUCUUCCGAUAUGUGCACUCUAAGGGGACCGCUGGUGCUAAACCAGAGGAAGGGGAGGGCGACGAUAGGUCCGUAUGCCCCGAAUCCCCCGGGCUACACGCGGGCUACAAUGCGCUGGACAGUUGGAUGCAACCCCGUGAGGGGAAGCUAAACCUUAAACCUGCGCUUAGUUCGGAUCGAGGGCUGCAACUUGCCCUCGUGAAGCUGGAAUCCCUAGUAAUCGCGUGCCAACAUCGCGCGGKGAAUACGUCCCUGCUUCUUGCACACACCGCCCGUCAAGCCAUCCGAGUGGAGUUUUGGAUGAGGCCG
rnacentral:rRNA from 1 species